rnacentral:rRNA from 1 species
GCCCUGUAGGGGCCCAGGAGCCGGAGCGGAGGCUGGGAAGAUGCUCCUCCAGCACUGCAGCGAAACGACAAAGGAUCCGAUGAGCCGCCGGUGGAGGCGUUCGCGGGCUUGCCGGGGGCGGAGAUGCUGGGGCCGUGGAAGACGAUGCCGCGUCCUCAAUCUUCACUUUGGUGGCAGUGUUGAAGUCGGGGAUGGUGGCGCUGGGUUAUUCGGUCUCCGCCGGCGUGUUUGGCUCCUGCUUCACAACAGAGUUGAGCCACUGCAUCUCCUCUUCGUUCGGCGUCACCUCCCACUCCAUCAUGCGGGCACAAGGCCAUAGCCUAGAGGGGCGAAGUGCUCCUCGUUUUCAUCGGCGGGCAUCGGCGUUGGGAGGUCCGGGUAGGCGAGCGGCUCAUCGAUGACCUCCGAUUCCGGUGGUGGUGUGCCGAUGGUGGAGGGCAUGGCCCGUACCCGUGCAUGGGGAAGAAAUCGCGGGCAGGGCAAGGGUCGUAUCUGUGCACCGGACAGAAGGCCACGCCUGCGUCCAUGCCAUUGCCGAAGAAGAUCCCCGGUGGCGGCGGGGCCUGGGCGGCAUCGAAGAACUCCUCCUUGCCUAGGUAUGGGGCUGCUGCCUCGGCGGGAGCCCAGUCCAUUGGCGGAGCGACGAAAGCCGAUAUCGAAGGUUCCUGGUAGGCUUGGUGGAUGGCCACGGGCGGGUUGCUUGGUCCUGCUUGAUAUGGCAUGGCAAGGCCAGGGUAAUCCUGACCACGACCACGGCGGCCACGGCGACCAUGGUGGCCGUUGCAUGGGACCCAAGGGUGAUAAACUCCAGCCUUGUGUCGUCUGGCCGAUCGAUGGAUUUCCCAUCCGAUGAAACAAACAAGUGCAGAGGCGAUGUUGUGCAGGUUCAUCCUUGCCAUCUUACCUUCUCUCUCGCUAUUCGUGCUCUGUUGGUAGAGGCUAGCGUGGCUGACAACGUGUAAGGAUUUGAUGGAAAAACUUGUGUCAUUGAUAGUUGGGUAAAGCCCUUUGUAUACAAGGAUUAGUGCCUCAAUUUGAGGUGCCUGUCCGGCAUCGAGAAGGCGUCCGUAUGGACGAUCGCGCCGUACGGCGCUUUGGACACCAAUAAUUGUAUUUACG